rnacentral:lncRNA from 1 species
CGGGGUGUGCAAGAAGUUCAGCUAAUGCCACGGGCUUUUCAAUUCUGGACGUGAGUCGAUCAAGUCGCUUCUCAGACCAAACCCAAGUUUUAGUGCGAAGAGCUUAAACCGCGGCUGGAAAUUGUACAAAGAUAAUCAGAAAAUACCUGAAGAGAAAUACAGCCGCCGCUGGGCCGCUUAGAAUAUCGAAAAAGUGCCAAACGCAAAUAAGCGAUUGGCACUUAGUACUUAGUGCAAAUCUGUUACAUUGAAGCUACAAGUACAUUCACC